rnacentral:rRNA from 1 species
CGGAGCAACGCCGCGUGAGUGAUGAAGGCUUUCGGGUCGUAAAACUCUGUUGUUAGGGAAGAACAAGUGCUAGUUGAAUAAGCUGGCACCUUGACGGUACCUAACCAGAAAGCCACGGCUAACUACGUGCCAGCAGCCGCGGUAAUACGUAGGUGGCAAGCGUUAUCCGGAAUUAUUGGGCGUAAAGCGCGCGCAGGUGGUUUCUUAAGUCUGAUGUGAAAGCCCACGGCUCAACCGUGGAGGGUCAUUGGAAACUGGGAGACUUGAGUGCAGAAGAGGAAAGUGGAAUUCCAUGUGUAGCGGUGAAAUGCGUAGAGAUAUGGAGGAACACCAGUGGCGAAGGCGACUUUCUGGUCUGUAACUGACACUGAGGCGCGAAAGCGUGGGGAGCAAACAGGAUUAGAUACCCUGGUAGUCCACGCCGUAAACGAUGAGUGCUAAGUGUUAGAGGGUUUUCCGCCCUUUAGUGCUGAAGUUAACGCAUUAAGCACUCCGCCUGGGGAGUACGGCCGCAAGGGUUGAACUCAAAGGAAUUGACGGGGGCCCGCACAAGCGGGUGGAGCAUGUGGUUUAUUUCGAAAGCAACGCGAAGAUCCUUACCAGGUCUUGACAUCCUCUGACAACCCUAGAGAUAGGGCUUCUCCUUCGGGGCAGAGUGACAGGUGUGCAUGGUUGUCGUCAGCUCGAGUCGUG